rnacentral:rRNA from 1 species
CUAAGCCAUGCGAGUCAACGUAGUAAUACGUGGCAUACGGCUCAGUAACACGUAGUCAACAUACCUAAGAGACGUGGAUAACCUCGGGAAACUGAGGAUAAACCGCGAUAAGUCAUAUUUUCUGGAAUGAUUUAUGGCUGAAAUCUAUAAGGCUCUUGGAUUGGACUGCGGCCGAUCAGGCUGUUGGUGAGGUAAUGGCCCACCAAACCUGUAACCGGUACGGGCUCUGAGAGGAGAAGCCCGGAGAUGGGCACUGAGAAAAGGGCCCAGGCCCUAUGGGGCGCAGCAGGCGCGAAACCUCUGCAAUAGGCGAAAGCUUGACAGGGUUACUCUGAGUGGUUUCCGCAAAGGAAAUCUUUUGGCACCUCUAAAAAUGGUGCAGAAUAAGGGGUGGGCAAGUCUGGUGUCAGCCGCCGCGGUAAUACCAGCACCCCGAGUGGUCGGGACGAUUAUUGGGCCUAAAGCAUCCGUAGCCGGUUCUGCAAGUCUCCCGUUAAAUCCACCUGCUCAACAGAUGGGCUGCGGGAGAUACUACAGAGCUAGGAGGCGGGAGAGGCAAGCGGUACUCAGUGGGUAGGGGUAAAAUCCGUUGAUCCAUUGAAGACCACCAGUGGCGAAGGCGGCUUGCCAGAACGCGCUCGACGGUGAGGGAUGAAAGCUGGGGGAGCAAACCGGAUUAGAUACCCGGGUAGUCCCAGCUGUAAACGAUGCAGACUCGGUGAUGAAUAGACUUAGUGUUUAUUCAGUGCCGCAGGGAAGCCGUUAAGUCUGCCGCCUGGGGAGUACGGUCGCAAGACUGAAACUUAAAGGAAUUGGCGGGGGAGCACCACAAGGGGUGAAGCCUGCGGUUCAAUUGGAGUCAACGCCGGAAAUCUUACCGAGGGCGACAGCAGGAUGAAGGUCAGAUUAAAGGGUUUUACCUAACAAGCCGAGGAGGUGGUGCAUGGCCAWUY